rnacentral:rRNA from 1 species
UACGUAGGGUCCGAGCGUUGUCCGGAAUUACUGGGCGUAAAGCGCGUGUAGGCGGCCCUGCAAGUCGGAUGUGAAAUCCCACGGCUCAACCGUGGAAGUGCAUUCGAAACUGCAGGGCUAGAGUCCUGGAGAGGAAGGUGGAAUGCUUGGUGUAGAGGUGAAAUGCGCAGAUAUCAGGAAGAACACCCGUGGCGAAAGCGGCUCUCUGGGACGGUACUGACGCUGAGACGCGAAAGCGUGGGGAGCGAACAGG